AUUGAACGCUGGCGGCAUGCCUAACACAUGCAAGUCGAACGGUAACGACGGGAGCUUGCUCCCGGGCGACGAGUGGCGGACGGGUGAGUAAUACUUAGGAAUCUGCCCAGUAGUGGGGGACAACUCGAGGAAACUCGAGCUAAUACCGCAUACGCCCUACGGGGGAAAGCGGGGGAUCUUCGGACCUCGCGCUAUUGGAUGAGCCUAAGUCGGAUUAGCUUGUAGGUAGGUAACGGCCUACCUAGGCGACGAUCCGUAGCUGGUCUGAGAGGACGAUCAGCCACACUGGAACUGAGACACGGUCCAGACUCCUACGGGAGGCAGCAGUGGGGAAUAUUGGACAAUGGGCGCAAGCCUGAUCCAGCAAUGCCGCGUGUGUGAAGAAGGCCUGCGGGUUGUAAAGCACUUUCAGUGGAGAAGAAAAGCCUACGGUUAAUAACCGUGAGUCUUGACGUAACCCACAGAAGAAGCACCGGCUAACUCCGUG
rnacentral:rRNA from 1 species